rnacentral:tRNA from 1 species
GGGGCCGUGGUCUAGCAUGGUCUAAGACUCCAGCCUGGGGAUGUGGCCUGCCGGAGCGCUGGCAAUCCUGGGUUCAAAUCCCAGCGGCCCCAC